rnacentral:tRNA from 1 species
AGUAGAAUGGCUGAGAUAUUAGGUAAUAAAUUGUAAAUUUAUUAAGGAGUUUAAAACUCUUCUACUA